rnacentral:lncRNA from 1 species
AGGAGGGCUGUGAGCUCCAAUAUAUAUUUGUUCUCUUGCAGACUCUGAUCUAAAGGAGUUGCAUCUUACAUGGGCAUAACUCAGAAAGAAAAGCUGGUUGUGUGUGAAGUCAAGGCCUGGCAGUAAAGGCUCUUCUUCUCCUCCUCUCUUUUCUCUAAUCCACCUCCUGUAUGCUCUGAAAGCCUCUCGCAAACCUCCAUUAUCUGCAAUGUUUUCUGCCAAGGUCCUCUUGCCAUUCACAUGUAAGCUAGCUUUCUUCCAGUAGUAAUUGUUGUAUUGAUUAAUCAUGCAUUUUGUUUUCUCUUUGAAUUUUUCUUCAGAGACAGUUGUCCACCAAGGAUCUAAGUUUCCAUUUUUGUCAUAUUUCCG